AUCUCUUAGCGGUGGAUCACUUGGCUCGUGCAUCGAUGAAGAAUGCAGCUAGCUGCAAGAAUUAAUGUGAAUUGCAGGACACAUUGAUCAUCGACACUUCGAAUGCACUUGCAGCCCUGGGUUCCUCUCGGGGCUACGCCUGACUGAGCAUCG
rnacentral:rRNA from 1 species